GUCGUUGCGUAUUACGCACCUCCACU
rnacentral:misc_RNA from 1 species